GAUGAACGCUGGCGGCGUGCUUAACACAUGCAAGUCGAACGUGAGAAUAGCAAUAUUUGAAAGUGGCAAACGGGUGAGUAACACGUGGGAACCUGCCUCGAAGUGGGGGAUAACGAUUGGAAACGGUCGCUAAUACCGCACGGUUCUGCUCUGAUGGGAAUGGAGCAGAUAAAGAUUUAUCGCUUUGAGAGGGGCCCGCGGCCGAUUAGCUAGUUGGUAAGGUAAAGGCUUACCAAGGCGAUUAUCGGUAGCUGGUCUGAGAGGACGAUCAGCCACACGGGAACUGAGACACGGCCCAGACUCCUACGGGAGGCAGCAGUGGGGAAUAUUGGACAAUGGGGGCAACCCUGAUCCAGCGACGCCGCGUGUGUGAAGAAGGCCUGCGGGUUGUAAAGCACUUUUAGUGGGGAGGAAAUGCUCAGACCUAACACGUCUGAGAGCUGACUUAACCCAAAGAAAAGCACCGGCUAACUCUGUGCCAGCAGCCGCGGUAAGGCGU
rnacentral:rRNA from 1 species